rnacentral:lncRNA from 10 species
ACAGCUAUUGUGGUGGGAAAGGGAGGGUGGUUGGUGGAUGUCACAGCUUGGGCUUUAUCUCCCCCAGCAGUGGGGACUCCACAGCCCCUGGGCUACAUAACAGCAAGACAGUCCGGAGCUGUAGCAGACCUGAUUGAGCCUUUGCAGCAGCUGAGAGCAUGGCCUAGGGUGGGCGGCACCAUUGUCCAGCAGCUGAGUUUCCCAGGGACCUUGGAGAUAGCCGCAGCCCUCAUUUGCAGGGGAAGAUGAUUCCUGCCAGAUUUGCCGGGGUGCUGCUUGCUCUGGCCCUCAUUUUGCCAGGUUCUGCGGAGUUCCCACCCUUGACUUGUAUUCCAGAGACCAGGUGCCUGCAAAUGCCAUCUCCUGUUGGGGAAUUAAGAAGCAUAAAGGUGGCACAGAACUGUCCUAUAUUAUGGGGGCACAGGAUGAGGAGGAAGGAAUCCAAGACUUGGAUGGAUUAUUAGUUUUCGAUAAGAUUGUGGAGGUCACCUUGUUGAACCUCCCAUGGUACAAUGAAGAGACUGAGGGUCAGAGAGGAGAAAUGACUGCUCCAAAGUCUCCUAGAGCCAAAAUCAGAGG